rnacentral:rRNA from 1 species
UACAGAGGUGGCAAGCGUUGUUCGGAAUUACUGGGCGUAAAGGGCGCGUAGGCGGCCAUCUAAGUCAGACGUGAAAUCCCCCGGCUUAACCUGGGAACUGCGUCUGAUACUGGAAGGCUUGAGUAUGGGAGAGGGAUGUAGAAUUCCAGGUGUAGCGGUGAAAUGCGUAGAUAUCUGGAGGAAUACCGGUGGCGAAGGCGACACCCUGGACCAGCACUGACACUGAGGCACGAAAGCGUGGGGAGCAAACAGG